GCGUGGGUGGUGUAGUGGUAACAUAGGUCGUUGCCAUUCAGCCGAUCUGCUAAAAGAGCGUCGAAAUCGAUUCGACCUGCCCGGGGUUCGAUUCCCUGUCCACGCA